rnacentral:rRNA from 1 species
UGGUGGAGUGAUUUGUCUGGUUAAUUCCGUUAACGAACGAGACCUCAGCCUGCUAAAUAGUCAGGGGAAGAUUUCGGUCUUCCGCUCUCUGACUUCUUAGAGGGACUGUCGGUUUCUAGCCGACUGAAGUGUGAGGCAAUAACA